UCUUCAAAAAUGGUAAUUUGCUCCAUAGCGCCACCUACAAUAUUCAAUUAGGCAGCCCCAUUAGGCAGCCCCGGUGCUACGUUUGACCUACAUGUAUAACGCUGGGUAGGUAUAUGUAACACAAGUAGACGGAAAGAAAAGUCUCUUGGCACCAUGCUCUAAACUGUACCGGAUGUCGCCAAUAUUGAUUUCUGUUUCACUAUGUUUGUGCAAAGCUCAUCUCAUUUCCACAUACAGGUAUUCACCUGCGUUUCAUACUCCAGGCCAGCAGGUGGCGGUAAUGCACCAAAUAUAUGGAUGCAACUCGCUUUUAUACAUCAAGAAGCAGACGAACAAUAACACAGCGUGCUGACGCCGGCUGAUACUCCAGGCCAGCAGGUGGCGGUAAUGCACCAAAUAUAUUGAUGCAAACCGCUGUUUAGAGCAGAAGAAGUAUCACACUGCAGCUUUGCCGGCCUGGUCUGCAGUCUGCUCCGUCUGAGACGGUUACUCAAUGCUGUUCUACACGAGGAGCUCCAUGCUAAUGCGAUCCUCCAUUCAAAUAUAUAAUGGUUUCUCCUGUUCGCCAGUCGGCAUGAACACAUAAAUACUGUGGAUAUUACGUUACAUAACCGCAGUGAAAGAACGACACUAUGGAGAUGUUUGGACUGCAGUAUAAUGAGCAUGGUUGCCCCCAGUUCCUGUGGACUGGGACCAGCACAGGACCAAGACUGCCCGACCUCCUCCAGAGCAGUGCAUCCACUGCACAGUCAUCGUAAUGGACGUGGCACUAAGGAGGAUUGUCCAGCCGCAGAUGACGCUGAAGAACCGUUACAAGCCGCUAACACCAGUCUGCUUCAGCAGCUUGGUUGAAAUGGAGAUUGGAUGAUGCACUGUGCCCAACUAAUCAUACACGUGAUGCCUUGAGAGGUCGGGGUCAGAUUGCCAGCAGGUGGCGGUAAUGCACCAAAUAUAUGGAUGCAACUCGCUUUUAUACAUCAAGAAGCAGACGAACAAUAACACAGCGUGCUGACGCGGGCUGAUACUCCAGGCCAGCAGGUGGCGGUAAUGCACCAAAUAUAUUGAUGCAAACCGCUGUUUAGAGCAGAAGAAGUAUCACACUGCAGCUUUGCCGGGCUGGUCUGCAGUCUGCUCCGUCUGAGAUGACACUAUGGAGAUGUUUGGACUGCAGUAUAAUGAGCAUGGUUGCCCCCAGUUCCUGUGGACUGGGACCAGCACAGGACCAAGACUGCCCGACCUCCUCCAGAGCAGUGCAUCCACUGCACAGUCAUCGUAAUGGACGUGGCACUAAGGAGGAUUGUCCAGCCGCAGAUGACGCUGAAGAACCGUUACAAGCCGCUAACACCAGUCUGCUUCAGCAGCUUGGUUGAAAUGGAGAUUGGAUGAUGCACUGUGCCCAACUAAUCAUACACGUGAUGCCUUGAGAGGUCGGGGUCAGAUUGUGAGUACUCCUCCGUUUU